AUUCCAGAGGUGGAGGAGGAUGGAAAAGAACCAUCAAUGGCCUCCAGCAGUGUGACUGGAGAUGACCUGCAACACGAGGAAGCAGAACGUGUCCUCCAGGCCUCCCAGGGUGAAGACCACAAGGAUUCCUUUGGUGUCUGUGAGGCUGGUGACACCCAGCAGCCUCUCGGUACCACUGCUGCCCUGAUAGAUGGGGUUGAGGACCCUUCUGCAGAGGGCCCUGAAGAUCAAACUCACUCUGCGGAGGACACCCUGGAGCCAGCAGCCCCAAGGUUUAUCGUUGAAGAGCUGAACUUCAAUUCAAAGCCUGUAGAGCAGUUUCAGAAGUGGAGAUCCAUCCUGUUCGACCUGCGCCAGACUCUGAAGGACCUGCUGACCCAGGGUGGACCUGCGAGUCACCUGGAGCAGAGCCACCCAAAGCACCGUGCAGAGUGGGGCAAGCGGGUCCAGAACCUCGGCCUCCAGCUCGGGCCAGGGCACCACUCUGAUGGAGAAGUGGAGGAGGAUAUGGACUCCAGUGUUGAGCUGCGUGAGGAGGAAGUGGAUGUCUUAUCGGAGUCAGUGGCGGAACUGUCCUUCCUUGGUUCUGGGCCGGCCUUUCCACCAUCUCCACAGGAACAUCACCUGAACACCGCCGCCCCUGUGGAUGAUCCUGAAGCGAGCCCUAUAGGCCAGGAAACCAAAGCUGAAGACACUGGGAGAGCACAGGAGCAGAAGGCAAGCAAAGUGCUCGGAUUUGCAAUGGAGCUUCAGGCCCAAAUGUGGACACACUUACGGACAACGUUCCACAAAUGGAGGGACACCAUCCUCUUCCUCCGCUGCAGCAUUAGGGGCCUGCUGUCCCAGAAGGACCCUGUGAGAUGUGAGGGGCAGAGCCACCAGUUCCAUGAGGAGUGGCGCAUGGCGGCCAAGCGCCUCGCCCUCCAACUCUGCCCAGCUCCCUGCCUGGCAGCCUGUCCCCAAGGGCUUCCCAGAGGACCCUUCAGCCACCAGCAGUCCAAGGAGCCCAGGGGCUCGUGCAUCCCUGGGAAGCUCUGUGUGGGAGCCCAGCUGGGUCAGCGCCCUGAGCAUGGAUCUGACACAGCGGCCGUGAGCCUUUCCCCCUCCGCCCCCCGCAUGGUCGCAGCCCACAGCGAUGCUGGAAAGCCGUGGCUGCUCUCGCCAGAGCUGAAUGUGGAGGUAUCACGUGGAAGGAAGAUUCCUCCCAAGGCAGAGGGUGAAGCGAUUUUAGAGGCAAAUGACACCACACUUGGGACUCAGUCCAUUGGCCCCUCUGAGCCCGUGGCCGCCCUGAAGCAGACUAUGAGCCACGGUUCUGGCAGCGGAGCAUGGCCUGCAGACGCCCCUGCUCUCAGGCUUUUGGUGCAGAGGGCCCUCCUGCUCCAGCCAAGAAAGAUGCUGCUCAUUUAAGGUGAUUGAGCACCAAGGCAACCUCCUGUGCUCUUCCAUGACAUCGAGACAAUAAAUACCAUCAGAACCCAAGAGCCCUCCUGGGUGAGAACUGCAUUCACAACCGGCAGCAGGACCUGAUGUUUGUUUGUUACUUUGUUGUAUUAUUUUGCACAUAUUUAUUUAUUUUAUUUUAAAGUUAAAAUAAAAUUUCAAAACACAUCUGUGGAUAUCAUUUGAGAAAGUUCCAGUGUUUCACUUCCAGUUUCCUCUACCUCAUUGUGCUCUGGGCUCGUCCUGGGUGGGAUGUGGGUCUGGGGUUACAUCUUGCUUCUGCAUGUUGUCAUCUCUAUUUUUUUCUUUUUAUGCUUUCAUUCAUUUUCUGUGUUUCUGUGUGCCGAUUUCUCAUGGUAGAUAGCUUUAUCACUAUCAAGGCUUUCCCAGAAGAUGUCUGUUCUUUAGAGAUGUCUUAUAAAUAUAGGUGGUUCUUUGUAUCUCUCUGAAAACCCACCUUCCCAGUUUGUUAAGGAGGAUAAGUUUUCUGUUUGGCUCAUUGCCCAAUGCUGUGGUCCUGAACUAGGGUGAUGAUUACAACUCCAUACAAUCACAGUGUUAUCCUAUGAGGGAGAAAAGCUGAUUAUAAUAUGCAUGUCAUCAUGGC
ensembl:lincRNA uncharacterized LOC102022989